AGAGACAGCAGCCGCCGCGGGAAUACGGAGGGUGCAAGCGUUAAUCGGAAUUACUGGGCGUAAAGCGCACGCAGGCGGUCUGACAAGUCAGAUGUGAAAUCCCGGGCUUAACCUGGGAACUGCAUUUGAAACUGUCAGGCUGGAGUCUUGUAGAGGGGGGUGGAAUUCCAGGUGUAGCGGUGAAAUGCGUAGAGAUCUGGAGGAAUACCGGUGGCGAAGGCGGCCCCCUGGACGAAGACUGACGCUCAGGUGCGAAAGCGUGGGGAGCAAACAGGAUUAGAUACCCGCGUAGUCCCUGUCUCUUAUACA
rnacentral:rRNA from 1 species